rnacentral:rRNA from 1 species
CGGCGAACGGGUGAGUAACACGUGGGCAACCUGUCCUUUCGUGGGGGAUAACACCGGGAAACCGGUGCUAAUACCGCAUGUCGUCAUCACCGGCAUCUGUGAUGAACAAAGCAGCAAUGCGCGAAAGGGGGGCCCGCGGCCUAUCAGCUAGUCGGUGGGGUAACGGCCUACCGAGGCAUUGACGGGUAGCUGGUCUGAGAGGACGACCAGCCACACGGGGACUGAGACACGGCCCCG